CGGAUAGCGCGUCCUUUAAGCUUCAAAAUGAUACCAAGAUCGACCUCCUAGCUACUUUCUUUCCAGAGAUAUGUUCGAGGGAACGCUACGAAGGACGCUCAAACGUCAUGAAUAAUUGAAGUUCAAUUAUUGCCUUCCGGGCACUUCCGGGCACUUCCGUAUACUCAUAAAGCAGAUGUUCUGGAGAAGACAAGUUAGUUAGAUGAAGGCUAGGCGUUCUAGGACUCUCUAGCUAGCUAGUAUAGCUAUGUAGCUGGUUGCUUGGCACCUAGGAAGGAUCUUCGAAGAAAUAAAGAGACAAAGACUCCCGUCGCUCGAAUGGUGGUGGUAAGUGUCGGAGGCCUGAGAAACGCUAGUCAAUUGGCUAGAAUGUUGUUAUGGAGUGUUUAUGAGGACAAGUGGCACGGGAUAUGUACAUCUAAAGAAACAAGAGUGGAUCUACGCCAAGCUAGCUAGCUAGAUAGCUGCUCUUUCUAAUCUAUAUCUAUUUCUGUUGCUAAAUUAUGUUUGUUAAGAAGUGGAGCUAUAAUAUACCUGGCUCCUCUUGAUGAUUGUAAGUACUGGGCUGAUGAAAUAGUCCUGUACAAGUUGUCAUCUUUUAUUUGUUAAAAAUAAUUAACAAUAAUAGGGAAAUUCCCAGGGAAUUUCCACGGUAAAUUUGAUUGUAAAAAAUGGUUCAACGUCCGCGUUUGACCUGUUUAAAGCU